CCCUUUCUCAGUAGGAGAUAAUGCAAUCAAAAUUUCUUAGAGGCCCUGGGCUUUGAGGUAGGGAAUCCCCAGCACCCAGGAGAGUCCCGUGGCUGCAAAGGUCAGCAGAUGGUGGUGACUCAGCACUAGGAAGACCAAUGCUUCUGUCCCGUUUGGCUGAAGAGCUCUGGCCAAAGGACUGUUGGCUCAGAUCCCUAGUCACAGAGACCUUUCUCCACCAGAUACAGAUCAGCUUCAUCCAGAUUCCCUGAAGAAACUCAGAAACCCAAAGCAUCUCUCUAGAAUGGCUCUGAAGAACUACUACCAGGAUAGCCAGUCCCCAGCCCCUGCCUCUUGCCUAAGGAGCACCUACUCUCUGCAAAUGAGAGUGAAAUCAGGUGGCUCAGAAUGCUGCCUCCCACCUGGGGGAGCUCUGAGAACCAAAUGAGGCAAUCCAUGGAUGCAGGGUUUCACAGUGAAGCGACCACUUCAUUGGAAGGACUAGCUCAGCUCAACAUUUGAGAAUCACUCAUUUGGCAAAUAUUCACUGAGCUCCAACGAUGUACCAGGCUGGGUUCUGGGUGAACAAGACACAAAACCCUUCGCCCUCAAGAAAUGUACAUUCAACAGGGAAUGAGACCAACUGUCCUUUGUGUCAUGUAAACACAUCCGUUCCCCUCACACCUCCUCCUUGCGCACCCAGGCCCCUCGACUUUAGCAUUUGAAGGCGCCAGUAAUGCCCUGCCUCUGUCGUGCUUCAGACUGCAACUCAUGAAGCGUAACGAGAGGAGUGACAUGGUGCCAUUUCAGUCUGCAGCGACAGAUGCAGGGGAGGUGGCACUUUUGCUUCCUGGUCCCCAGCUCACUCUGCAUCCACUGACUGUCUUCUGCCAAGGCCGGGAACCAGCCCUCUUCAUUAAAAUGAAUUAAAUAGA